rnacentral:lncRNA from 1 species
CAUCCAUUGCGCGUGUGCAAAGUGACARAGUGCUGUGGACUAAGAUGUGUGCAAACGACAGACUAUACCUGGUGUGAAUUUGAUAUUGCUUAUCCAUGACACAAAUGUGCAUUCACACUUUUACGCGCUCCUUGGGAUGCUCUCAUUCCCUUUCUGUUAUUUUCCCAUCUUCGUGUGUCUCUGCCUAAACUUAAUUGUGAAAGUGAAUGUGAUGUGAGUGUUAUUCUGCCUACAACAUGAUCGUUUCUCUUUCUUUCUUCUUGAAGCCAAGUA